UCUCCCAACUCGGGCGUUACGGAGUCGGGUGGAGGCUCCCGCCCAGCCACCUUGACUGAGGCUGAGGGAGGGCGAGCGAGCCGGCUGCGCUGCGUCCACCGCGGCGGGUGGUCUGUCCAGGGUGUCCGAAGCAAGUGAGGGCGCGCCGCCCAUGGGAACCCCCCGCAGGGCGGAGAACCGAGGAAAGGCCACCCGCCAAAAUACAAAGGACCUGAUUAACAAACUGCUGACCUUAACAAGCCUGUGGACUCAAAGUGGGUGGACCUUUUUGGAGAAAUGAAAGCGAAUGCCUACAAAUUUAAAAACCUGCUGUUGCUAUUCCACCCAUACACCACUUAGGAAAGCCUGUGUUACUAUACAUUGGGAGUUCUGCAAAUCCAAAGGGGCCUGAGGAUGGAAAUCAGGAGAUCUGAGAACAUGGAUGGAGAAAAGAAAUUUCUAUCCUCACUAACCUCUAAAGUCUAGCAUUUGUUUCAUAGGCCACAAACCACCACAGUAUCAGUACCUGUGACUCUGUCAUCACGAGCAGAUAUUUGCAUGUUCCAGAUACCCGAAAAUAUUAUUUAGGUGCAGCACUGCUUGGGAAUUAUGGUAUUAUUAUCUCCACUCUGAGAUCCUGUAAUAUGAUAAAGAAGCACAUUUAUUAGAUUGCAGAUAUAAAUUUUUAAUAAUUUCAUAACUGUAUUUCAAUAAAAUUGGCUUCCUUGGAAA